UACGGAAGGCAGCAGGGGGGAAUAUUGGACAAUGGGCGCAAGCCUGAUCCAGCCAUGCCGCGUGUGUGAAGAAGGCCUUCGGGUUGUAAAGCACUUUUGUCCGGAAAGAAAAGCUUAGGGUUAAUAACCUUGAGUCAUGACGGUACCGGAAGAAUAAGCACCGGCUAACUUCGUGCCAGCAGCCGCGGUAAUACGAAGGGUGCAAGCGUUACUCGGAAUUACUGGGCGUAAAGCGUGCGUAGGUGGUUUGUUAAGUCUGAUGUGAAAGCCCUGGGCUCAACCUGGGAAUGGCAUUGGAAACUGGCUUACUAGAGUGCGGUAGAGGGGUGUGGAAUUCCCGGUGUAGCAGUGAAAUGCGUAGAUAUCGGGAGGAACAUCUGUGGCGAAGGCGACACCCUGGACCAGCACUGACACUGAGGGCACGAAAGCUGGGGAGCAAACAGGGAUUAGAUACCCGU
rnacentral:rRNA from 1 species